ensembl:lncRNA
GUAAUUAAGCUAAAAUAAAUUCACACUGGAAUGGGAUGGUCCCUUGAUCCCACAUGGUUGGUGAACUUUUAAGAUGAGGAGAGAGACAAAGAGGAGAGGACCAGGUGAAGAUAGAUACAUGGGAGAAGAUGGCACGUGAAGACGGAGGCAGAGAUUGGAGCCGUGUGUCUACCAGUCAAGGAAGGCCAAGGUUACCAGCCGUGUCCAGAAGCUAGUUGAGAGGCAUGGACAGGUUUUUCCAGAAUCUGCAGAAAGAAUCCACAUUACAACACCCUGAUUUCAGACUUCUGGCCUCCAGAACUGUGAGACAGUGCCUACAUUUCUGUGAAUUUAAGCCACCCAGUUUGUGGUCCUUUACUAGAGCAGCCCUGGGAAAUCCCUGGUGGCUCAGUGGUAAAGAAUUCGCCUGCCAAUGCAGGAGACAUGGGUUUGAUCCCUGGGUGGGGAAGAUCCCCUGGAGAAGGAAAUGGCUUAUCUACUCCAGUAUUCUUGCCUGCAAAAUCCCAUGGACAGAGAAGCCUGGCGAGCUACAGUCCAUGGGGUCUCAUAGGACAUGACUGAGUGACUAAACAACAGCAGAGGAAAUGAAUAUCCCACGCCACACAGCUGUUGAGGUAGAGCCAGGCUGGGUCUGCCUCCAAGCUCACUCUCUUACUGUCACCUUGAGAGUGGGAGAAAUGUCCAGCAGAGGGGACAAAGCUCCUCGGAGGACAGGGAGGAGCAAUCACCUCUGCCUGUAGGUGGGAGCUUCUCAGAGGAGGGAAAUUUUGAAUGGGAUCUCACAGUUAAGGAGGCGUUCCCCAGGGCCAGAAGGCUGGGGUGGAGGGGUGUACUGGGGAGAAGGAUCAGCUGAUGAGAGGUGAGAAGUGUGUUGCUGGUGGAGAUGGUGACAGUUUUUGCCCUAAAGAGGAAGGAUUCCUGUAAAGUGAGGACUCUGAAGCUGAAGCUCCAGUACUUUGAUGUGAAGAGCCGACUCACUGGAAAAGACUCUGAAGCUGGGAAAGAUUGAAGGCAGGAAGAGAAGGGGAUGACAGAGGAUGAGAUGGUUGGAUGGCAUCACCGACUCAAUGGACAUGAGUCUGAGCAAACUCCGGGAGUUGGUGAAGGACAGGAAAGCCUGGCAUGCUGCAGUCCAUGGGGUUGCAAAGAGUGACUGAGUGACCGAACAACAAGAGUUCCCACUUCUUUCCUCCCCACUGCCCCACGUCCUUCAUAAGUGGAGGCCAAAGUCCCUUCCCAGCGCCUGUUCCAGGCCCAUGGGCCUUCCUUCCCAGAUUCACUCUUCUGCUCUUGGAGCCUCUGUCCUUACCAUCCCCAUGGUUGAUCCCUCUGGUCCCCAGUGGACCAGGUCUCCACCCUGAACACCACCUCCUCAGAGAAGCCUCCGAGAGAACAGGACUGUCCAGGAGAUCAGAGAAUUCUAUUUUCCGUGGGAUGAGAAGACUUCAGAGUCCUGCCCAUGUCUUCUAAUCUUCGGCUCCCAAAUCCUGGGUUCUUCCUCGGGCACCCUGACGGUGAAGAAAGGUGCUGAAUCCACCAGAAACAACCUUAUUCCAGUGGGGAAGCUUGUGUCUUCCUUGGCAUCUUGUACUCCCUCCCUCCUGUCUCCUCCUCACCUCCCUCUCUAUGCAAAGAAAACUGUCUUCCUGCCCUUAGAAGAAGGUGGCCCCCAGCUCCAGCUCUCAACAUCCCUACCACCCCUCCAGCUAAGAAGGUUGGAUGCACUGGAAAAGCCCCGGGCUUCCAGAUUAACCUUGCAAAACCACUCGGCUGUAGCUGGUCUCAGUUGAGCCCCCACCUGCAGGUGAUACCACCUCAGGACUGGAGGGUUGACUA